ACAAAAUAUAAAAAACAUUUGAUGUAUAACAAAAUUUAUUAAAUUUUACUUUUUAAUAUAUUUAAUAAAAAAAACCUUUUGGAUACAUGUUUUAUCUUUCAAUGAUAAUUAUUAUAUAUAAAAUAGGAGAGGUGCAAGCAAUGUGGUUAAGCCAAGUGGCAAGCUAAUAACAAGCCACUUGACAAUUUUAAGACAAAACUAAUGAGAUUUAUAACAAAGUUAAUAAGUAUUUUAAUAAUUAUUAUCUAUAUCUAUCUAUCUAUAUAUAAUAGGAGAGGCAAAAGCAUGAUGUGAUGACAAAUGUCAUCACUAGAAAAAUCAUAUUUAAUAAUUAAAAUAAAAUAAAAAAGACAACAAAUAAAUAAAAAAUAAAUGAAAAGAAAAGACAAAAAGAUUUAAAAAGGAAAAACAACUACCACGUCCCAUACCCCUAUUUCCCCGGCACGGUGAAAAAAAAUUAAAAAGUAUAAAUUCUAUAAACACACGUUAACACUGUAGCAGUUUAAAAAAACACUGCAAGAAUCAAAUUAAAAAUGCAAAAUAAAAUUAAAAAAGGAAACGGCAAAUUCACAAAAAACCAUACUACUAAACUUCCUCCCCCAUUUUCAAAUACAAAUAUUCCAAAUCACGGUUAUAUCCAUUUGAAGGAAAACAGAAAUUACUCCAUCUCAACCGUCUACUCUCUCUCCUCAAAACUCUAGGAUCAAAUUCCCAUAGCAUAAAUCAUAGAAAGAUGGAUUUUCCUUUCCACAAUUUAUUUUCUCAUCGCUGGAAACAUCGAAUUAGAUUUUGGCGGUUUUUAGGGUUUUUUUAAAGUCUCAUGAUGGAUUUUCAUCAAAUUAUUAGGUAUGAUCACUGCAAGGUUUUUAUUUUCCUUGAAAAUUGUGUUAUUAAAUACUUAUGAUUUGUGUAAAAAUGUGUACUCAUGUUCUAUUUUUAUUCUAUAAAUAAUUGUACGGUAGAAUAAUGCUAUUCACAAUUGAUUGUCUCUGUUCACAAAAUGGACAAAUUUAAGGUCUGUGGGGAACACAAAAGUCAGUUUCAUAGUGGAACAGUAUUUCCACAAUAUACGGCUUGGAUAUAAUUGCACAUACUGUUUCACGUAUUAGCAGUUAACAUUGUUUACAUCUAUUCUAGAUUCUAGAUUCGCUCAUCUGUAAACAAUCCUAAUCCUAAUCACAAAACUCCUCUAGGGUUCUCUUAAUCCAACUAACUAAUACUCUCACCCGCAAAGUACUUCAUCAUCGUAUCUCUGGAGUAGUGCACAGUGGACUUCGAUGAGUAUGAAUAUAUAUCUUAAAAACCCCGUUGAAGAAAACAGCGCCGACAAAGAGAAGGAAAGGACAGAAAAUGACUAUCGCAGAAUAGGAGAUAUAGACGAAGUCGAUGACUACAAUGAUUAUGAGUGGAUUAUUCUGGAGAGGCAACAUCGGCUCAGUUGUGUAGAUAAGGAAACCCAAACUCUAAAGAUUAUUCCUCUCCUUUCAGGUUUCAAUUAUAUUUUUUCCCAAGGUAGACAGGGAGGUGAGCUCGAUCCAGAUUCAUAGUAGCUGCCAGCCGAUAGAGAGCACUCCAUCGUUCGGAGGUGCUUAUGAUUACUCUUUUGGUAUAUAUGCAUAUUUUGGGCACGACGGAGUCUUGUUCCGUCUAUGUAUACAGUAUGUCAGUAGAGGCUCGUAGAUACGCAGUGUGGGUUAGAUGGUCUCACAAGAUGUUAUCAUAUGUAUAUAUUAUUUUGA